AACAAAAAAAUCAAUAAUUUUAUGUAAAAAAAGCAAAAAAUCUCUCUCUUUCUCUUUCUAGCGAAGAACAUCUAGAAUAAGGAAACUACAUCAACAUUUUGUGCGUUAUCUGUUAUUAAUAGCACGGAUAGUACACACGUUAUCGGGGUAGGAUUAAUAGACGAGAAUUUAUGUGUUUUGCGUUAAUUAACGAUCUACAUUAUUUUUAGAUGGAAUGGUAUCACGGAUGCAACGGGAAUAUCUACGGUUUAUUUACCCCGAGAAGAGAUAGCGGAGACAAAUGCUUGCGCCGGAUACGGCCUGCCUGCACUUCCCACUUGUCUAAAUUGAUAAGUGUUUCACGAGAUAGAGGAUAUCGCGCGUGGGUUAAUUGAUGUUCAGAUUCGUUUAUUUUCCGCCGAACAAUUGCGACAUCCAAUUUCGCCAGAGUUUGAACAUGUUAUAAAUUUCUCAUUCAAAGAGAAGAGAGAGAAUUGAGUUUCAAGGGAAAAGAAACGUGUGUGUGAUAUGUCUCGUAUUUGCGAGUGUAUCAGUUUCUUUUGUGCCUGACGAGAACAGAUAAUAAGAAUAUUGCAGCAUCUUAAGAAUUAUUAUACCUAUUGUUGAGAGCAGCAGAAUAAUUGACAUCAUCAAUCUUGGUAACAUGAUAAUCUCCCGGAUGAGAGGAGAGAAGUCGAAGAAAAGAGAGACAAUAAUCCAAAAGAAGAGUUCGAAGAAGAAGUCGUCGACCGCUCGAUGUCACUGGAUUUGUUGUGAAAGAUCAGAGAUCAAAUCGGAUCCAACACGAGGAGACACUAAGGUCAGUGCGGGAUCUUUCUUUUGCGCGCACGUUCUUUCGUCGGCUCCGCCGCGAACGGGGGAAGCAGUUGUCGUGCUCGGGGAAAGAGUCGACCGUACCCGUUGACUUGUGGCAGCAAACUGUUCUUGACUGCUUAGCAGAACGACGCGUGGAAGCUAUCCAACGGAUCGAGAAACCAUGCGUGGGAAUUCGAUAACAUUUGACACCGACGAGAGGAGGGGGAUGGACUCUAAGUCCGGAAAUCGAUGAGAUGCGUGUCAUGGAACGAACCAUAAAAAAACCGUAAAAUUUGCUCUUGACAAAGCAACGAAAUCCAAUAAAACUCCCAUUCGAGAGAGAUCAAGAACGAUAUGUCAAAAGUGCAUCAUGUGUCAUCACUGCAACGAAUAAAAAUAUACAAUU